AUUCUUUGAAGUGGGAAUUGAAGUGAGAGAGAGACGAGGGAGCUUUGGGGUUCUGUUUGGUGAGCGAGAAAAUGAGGAGGAAAGGGAUGGGGAUUGGAGGGAAAGUGCGUGAAGGAGUGAAGGAACUGCCAUCUUUUAAUUAGCUGACUGGUUUGGACUCCUCGCAGCAAUAUUAGUUAUUGAAGUUAUUCGCUUCUCUCUUCAAGCUUUAAAAUUUUAAAAAUUUCA